rnacentral:rRNA from 1 species
GUGCCAGCCGCCGCGGUUUUUCCAGCUCCAGAAGCGUCUACGGUGAUUGCUGCAGUUAAAAGGUUCGUAGUCGGGCAGGGAAACCGUGGGGAAAGGAGGCUGCUCAAGGGAGUGGGGAGCACGGGACAAGGGUUGAGAGGGGCGGACGGGGGCAGGGGGAUUUGGCAGCUAGAGGUGAAAUUCGGAGAUUUGCCGAGGACCGGCAGAGGCGAAGGCGCCUGCCAGGGACGCUUUCAUUGAUCAAGGACGAAGGCCGGAGGAUCGAAGACGAUUAGAGACCGUUGUAGUUCCGGCGGUAAACGAUGCCGACAGGGCCGCGCGGGGCAGGGAGGCUGCGCGGGGCUCGAAGAGAAAUCAAGAGUGCGUGGGCUCUGGGGAAAGUAUAGUCGCAAGACGGAAACUUAAAGGAAAUUGACGGAAGGACACCACCAGGAGUGGAGCAUGCGGCUUAAUUUGACUCAACACGGGGCAGCUUACCAGGGGAGGACGCCGCGGGGAUCGGAGGGGCGCGGACCGGAGGAGAAUCGGCAGGGAGUGGUGCAUGGCCGUUCCUGGCCCGUGGGGUGACCUGUCUGGUUGAUUCCGCUAACGGGCGCGACCUCGGCGCGGCAGGGGGCGCGGACUACCAGCGUGGAGCGGGGGGAAGAGAGGCGAUAACAGGUCAGUGAUGCCCUUGGAAGUUCUGGGCUGCACGCGUGCUACAGUGCGCGCAGGAGAGCGGGGCGAGAGGCCCGGGGGGAGCGGCGCGCGCGGGGGAUGGACGGCUGGGAGGCCGUACUGAACGCGGAAUUCCCAGUACGCGCGGGUCACCAGCCCGCGCAGAAGAGGUCC